GUUCACAAAAAUCCUAUCCUUGUUCACUAAGGUUGCCUAUUUUGGAAGCUAAGCAGGGUUAGGCUUUGUUAAUACUUGAAUGGGAGACUGCCAGGGAUCUCCAGAUAGGGUUAAUC
rnacentral:rRNA from 1 species